AUUGAACGCUGGCGGCAGGCCUAACACAUGCAAGUCGAACGAUUGGCGGACGGGUGAGUAAUGUCUGGGAAACUGCCCGAUGGAGGGGGAUAACUACUGGAAACGGUAGCUAAUACCGCAUACCAUCGGAUGUGCCCAGAUGGGAUUAGCUAGUAGGUGGGGUAACGGCUCACCUAGGCGACGAUACUUAGCUGGUCUGAGAGGAUGACCAGCACCACUGGAACUGGGACCCGGUCCAGACUCUGACGGGAGGAAGCAGUGGGGAAUAUUGAACAAUGGGCGCAAGCUUGAUGCAGCACUGCGGCGUGUAUGAAGAAGGCCUUCGGGUUGUAAAGUACGUUCAGCGAGGAGGCGUUACUCGCAGAAGAAGCAGCGGCUAACUCCGUGCCAGCAGCCGCGGUAAUAC
rnacentral:rRNA from 1 species